rnacentral:misc_RNA from 1 species
UUUUUAUUUGAGUAAGGCAAUUCAUGGGUUCAUACUUCAGAUAUUCAGCACUGGAAUUCAUUGGCACCUGCCACGGACAAAAGAACACUUGGCUAAAAUGGAGAAACGUAAAAUUUCCUGUCAACCAGCCAGGUGAAAACAAAAAUGAUCAAAUGGCUUAUGAAAGACUUGGUCUCUCAACUAGCCAAUCUGCAUAAACCUAACCCAAAAAGUGCAAGUUAGAAUACUGCUCAAUAACUGAACCAACGGCAGCUCAAAACAAACCUGCCAUAUACUUUUGAGUCAAAGACUUGACAAUGGACGUCCAUUCUCAAGUAAGGAACUAUAAGCAAAGUUUCAUGAUGAGCUUAUUGUAUUUGCAAAAGAAAAGGAAUUGCAGUCCCAAAAAUCAGAUAUAAAGGACUCUUUAGCUCAUACAGAGUAGGAGUUUACAUCAAUCCCAGUUGUUCCUCCAUGAAUGUCGACGAGAGGAAUAAAUCAGCUGGAGAAAACAAGGUAAUAUCAUUGAUUUUACUUGAUGUAUCAAAAACUUAAAUUCACCAACAAAAAUAUGGGUCAAGUAUUCAUUCCCACUAGUAAAGAUGCAUGUCCCAUUAAUAAAGAAAAGCUUCAUGAUCUAAAAUUACACUCAUGUGAUUUACAGGCCCAAAACGUCAGAUACAGACUUGUUGAUGAUCUGAAAUAGCUCUUCCCUGUAAGCAAAAAAGAGCACAAAUCAAAUGUUAAAUUACAGCAAAAUAAGGAAGUCAUAUUAACUUAAGUAAUAAAGCUCAAUUUCACCCCAACACUUGUUGGACAUGUUUAAUUUAAUCCAUUUUCAACUUUUAUUCCAAUUUAGCUUAGAAGUUUUUGUUUAAGCUGGAAUUAGCCCAAUCUCCCUCAUUUGAGUUACACGUGCCAUUUACCAAAUAUUUAUUUUUUUAUUUUUUAAUAUUAAAAUUAUUUUUAUAGUUUAUAAGUAAAUAAAUAAAAAUAAAAAUAUUAUUAAUUAAAAUGAAAAUAUGAAAAAUAUUAUUUUUAUAUUUUCAUUUUACUAAUAUUAAAAAAGUAAAAUAUAAAAAUUAAUUAAUUAAUUUUAAGAGAGA